rnacentral:rRNA from 1 species
GUAGGGAAUAUUGCGCAAUGGACGAAAGUCUGACGCAGCGACGCCGCGUGAGUGAUGAAGGCCUUAGGGUCGUAAAGCUCUGUUGAAUGGGAAGAAAAAAAUGACGGUACCAUUCGAGGAAGGACCGACUAACUUCGUGCCAGCAGCCGCGGUAAUACGAGGGGUCCUAGCGUUGUUCGGAAUCAUUGGGCGUAAAGGGUGUGUAGGUGGCCAUGUAAGUCAGGUGUGAAAGCCCCGGGCUCAACCCGGGAAGUGCACUUGAUACUGCGUGGCUUGAGUACCGAAGAGGGUAGUGGAAUUCCAGGUGUAGUGGUGAAAUACGUAGAUAUCUGGAGGAACACCGGUGGCGAAGGCGGCUACCUGGUCGAGUACUGACACUGAGACACGAAACCUAAGGUAGCGAAUGGGAUUAGAAACCCCGGUAGUCC